rnacentral:lncRNA from 1 species
CUGUACUCAGGUCCCUUUAUUGUGUUGGGUUUUCCUUCUGGGGCUUGAGGACCUAGAAUCACAGAAUCACAAAGCAAAACCAAAGAAAAUACUUAACUGCUUUGUCAUCCUCGGUUAAUAGUAAAUGCCCAAAGCGGUAUAUCAAAUUUUUUUCUUCCUGUGAAGGGGUCUUGUGAUGAGACCAUGGCUUGUCAUGUGAGUGGUUGACGGUUUUUAUCAGAUGGUGACAUCUUGAUGAACAUGAUAAAUAUGAUGAUAGCAGUAUUCUCAUAUAUUUUGAACAUUUCAGGCAUGUUCUAAGUGCACAUAUACUGGUCAUAUGAUACAUAUUUAUAAUAGAAAAUGACCAUUUUUAAACUAAUGGUAAUUUACUUUAGAAAAGUACUAUUGUAUAAUACCUUCCCAUUAUCAUUACCUUAUUUUUAAAAACCUGGAAAAAAAAAAGAGGCUGAAAGGAGGUUCAGUGUCACACUUUAAGUGAAGUCAGAUGGCUAGAAAGUGGCAAAGAUAGGAUUCAAACUCAGAUAUUUCACACCCCAAAGCCCUGCUAAGAAGCUCUUCUAAGAAUAAGAUGCCCACAUGCUUUAUCAGCAGAACAGCAUGUGAUGUAGGCAUGAGCUAUCUGGAGCUUGGGCCAUGCACGUGUUUGUUUGUUAUAGGGGCAAGAAGGAAGACUCCUGGGUGAAAGGAUGGAGGGAGGCAGCUGGUCCAGGAUGCUCUACCCUGCUCUCUGGCCAGGAGGGAAGGGCCUGCAAUAGCCAUUCCCAAACCCAUAGGGUCUCAGCAGCUAGGGGGUGCCCCAGAGCCCAGAUGACUUCUUCCCCCACCCAGGGGAAGCUCAAGGAGGUGACAGGCUGGCAGGUCCCUUGGGGAACCCAUGGGAGUCCUUCGUGAAGGCUUGAAUCGGCUGGUGGCAGCACAAGGUGUUCUUUAGCAAACCAAGGAUGUUUUCUGAGGGCUCUGGAGACCUCCGCAGACCCCGUGGCCACAUCCAAGUCAUACUGUCUCACUUCACAUCACAUCCAUGUACGUUGGUCAUUUGCAAUGGGCUGGACUCAGUGUCCGCCAUGUGAUAUUCACCAAGCUUCCCAUAAAUAUAGACUAUAGCAGAGGGUAAACCAGUAAAUUCAUAUGACACACGUAUUGUGAUAGGUACUUUAUCAUGGUGAUCUGGAAACAUGUGAAAUUAUCUCUGAAUUCUGCCUGUAUACGUAUAUAUAUUCUAAUUCUUUUUUUUUUUUUUUUUGGUCUUUUUAGGGCUGCACCUUCAGCAUAUGGAAGUUCUCAGGCCAGGGGUCGAAUCGGAGCUGUAGCUGCUGGCCUAGCCCAGAGCCACAGCCAUGCCAGAUCUGAGCUGCAUCUGUGAACUACUCCACAGCUCAUGGCAACGCCGGAUCCUUAACCCACUGAGUGAGGCCAGGGAUCGAACCUGCAUCCUCACGGAUCCUAGUCAGAUUCAUUUCUGCUGAGCCACGAUGGGAACUCCUAUAUUCUAAUUCUUAAAGGUAGAUAUUAUUGUCCAAAUAGAAGCUGGAGAGAUGAUAUAACUUGUCGAAGGACAUAUUCUUAGAAGUGGCAGAGAUAGUUUACAUGCUCAGGUUUCCCUGACUCAGAGGAUGCCCUCGUCCCACCAGACCACCUCUCUCUCUCUUAUGGGGUGGCACUGAAAUGUUAGGCUUCUUUUUCCUUUCUUCAUAGCCCAGAUGACCCAGGAGGGCAGAAAGUAUGCCUCACUCAUUAUAACCCUAAAGAAUUUUCCCUGGUGCAAAAUUCAACUAAUACUGAUUGUGCAACUGUUUUGACCCAGGCGCUAUAGUAGGUUACCAUGUUCCCUUAGGACUGGCAUUUAGUAGAUGAAAGCAAAACACAAACCACAUGGUCACGUAGGAGAAGUGAGAAAAAGGAAUACUCACGGAGUCCUUACUUCUUGCGCAGCACUUUCUUCCUCCUCUUUGUACACAAGCUCUUUUAGUCCAUGGGCCAGUGUGGUUCUUAUCCUUGUUUACACCCCAGGAAGCUGCAGGGCAGAGAAGGUGAGCAACUGGCUCCAGAGUUCACACAGGUAGAAAGUUGCAGAACCAGGACUCUCAGCCCACUAUGUGUAUGUUCAGUCUCCCCUCUUUGUCUCAAAAUAAAUACAGUCAGGGCAGAGGCAAGCUGGGCAGUGGACUACUCUGGCAGUAGGUGGCAUUUCAUCUGAGAUGAGAAAAAUAAGAAGUCCCAUUCAAAAAAUAAAUGUGGGAACUCUAAGCAAAGAGAUCAGCUUGUGCAAAGGCACUGAGGUGGGAAUGCUCUUGGCAAGUUAAAAAACAAAAAAACCAGAAACACAAUGGGAAACUGUCAAAGGAAGAGGCUGAUGCCCUUUAAGGAAAGAAGACUUAGCGGUCUAGCAGGCGUGGAGAUCCAUUCUCUGUCCUUUUUUUUUUUUUUGCGUUUUAGGGCCGCACCCACAGCAUAUGAAAGUUCCCAGGCUAGGGGUUGAAUCAGAGCUAUAGCCGGCUGACACCACAGCCACAGCCACGCAGGAUCUGAGCCCCAUCUGCAACCUAUACCACAGCUCACAACAAUGCUGGAUCCUUAACCCACUGAACGAGGCCAGAGGUCACACCUGCAUCCUCAUGCAUUGUAGUUGGGUUCAUUACUGCUGAGCCACAGCGGGAACACCUCUCUGUCCCUUUUUACAUCUUCUUUCAAAGCUUCUGUCAUGCCAUCUUUCAUGGACACGUGGAUAUGAGGCAUCCAAUUUAGAAAUAACAACCUUCAGAAUGGAUAAAGCCCUUCUGACGAGGUCACCUCCCUUUUUCUAGAUCAGAGAUGGAUGUACCAGGCUUACAGAUACAGUGCACACAACAGGCAUCACCUAUUGAUGGCUGCAUUCGUGUCCAUUUAGCUCUCAAAUAGAGCCCCAGAAUGCUUCUCAACACAGGGUCAUAGGCUGCCAUUUUAAUCAUCCAGAGGUGGAAUGUGUUACCCCGGCAUGUGUUUUCUGCUAGAUCUAAGCCAUAGCCUUUGGAAGGAACUGACAACAAGAAAGACUUGGUGUUUCUGGUGCCCAUGGGGGUGGAACCCGCCAUCAUCCCAGGGGAUGUUUUGAACAGGCAGCCACUUAAGUUUCUAUAUCCUCGUGAUAAUCAUAUCUUGGAAAAGGCUUUAGGAAGAGGAUCAUAAAACCAGGCAUUUCCUAGCAGCGGGCUAUGGUGUGGCUUGCUAAGAAUGUGCUCCUAAUGCAUUUUAAUGACAUGCUUUAUAAUAUCUUAUUAAAGAUUGUAAGAGCAUCUAAUAAUCAUUUAAUAAAUAUUAAUGAAGCAUUUAGAGACUGCACCUUAAUUUACAACCCUGGCUCUCGUAUCCUGCCCUGGACAUUAACACCUGGGGACAUGGUUGGCUCCAACAGAGACGGCCAUGGAGAGACUAGUUCUGUGUCAUUGUGCCAUCUUGGUACCAUAAGUGAUUUUAAAAAAUAAUAAUUCUUGGAGUGCAGUUCAGGGCAAUGAAGCUUGAUACCCAAAGCAGUUUUAGCAAUUAUUAUUCUGUUUGGGGAACAUUAAAACAUAAUCUACCAUGAAUUUAUAAUCCAUAGCUUCUCUCUCAUGCAUUUUUUUCAAUAAUAGGCAAUAAUUAUAGGCCCUCGUGCAAAGACUCCUGUACAUGUUGGCCAGUGCCCUGUCCCUCCCUUGUCGUUAAGUCUUGCAGGCAGUAGAUCCAAGAUUGAGCUCAAGCCGUCCUCUGCAAUUCUCUCCAGCCGCUGCUGGCCCUCAGCCAAGCUGGUUUCACACUGGGCUCGAAGUCAUACUUCACAGAAAUCCAAAGGUGGAAGGGCCCUUGGAAAUUGCCCUGUCUGCCUUCACACUUUAUAGAGGAGGAAGCUGAGGUCCAGAGAGGAGAUGGGACAUUUGAAGUCACACAGCAAAUGAACAGCAGAGAUUGUUCUGUAUCCAGGGGCCUUAGAUUUGCAGUCGCAUGCCUCCCAGGCUCACAGCUGGGGGAAGUGGCACCCAUUGGGGAGAUCUUGGGUCGACAGUGGUGCUUCCUCCAAGGCGGUCCUGGGAAAUGCUUGGCUUCGGGGGCGGGGUCUAUGCCUCUGACCUCCCAGCCAGCCAGGAGCCACGAGUGCCCUGGGGCUCCUCCGUACUAUGAGGCGUUGGCCAGCAGAUGGCGCUGCAGGGAUUUAAACUGGAGCCGCCGCGUCCAAAAAGCAGCCCCGGGCCGGGCUGAGAUUCACAAACCCCCGCAAUCAGGGACUGUUUGAAAAGAGAGGAUCCGUCCUCUGCUGCAGGGCCCUUUGGAUCCCUGGGCCCCUGUGAGGAGCCCUAGCCUUGCUUGGGAGAGAGAGCCAGGUGGGCUGGGCACACUGGCUGUCUUAGAUCCAAUUCUGCUUUGUGCAAACCAGAGAGCUUGCUACUUUGGGGCAAGACUCGGCCAAAGCUCAGGGUCUCCCUAGAAGAGAAGAUCACUCUAAGGAACACGAAGACCCUCCUUUCCGGGGAGGAGCAAGGCACACGUUCCCACAUUCGCUAAGGCGGGUGUUUCAUCUUCCCCUUCCUGACUCCCAGACCUGCGGAUGGUUGCCAGGCCAUGUUUGAUGUGUUUUAAUUAAUAAUUUAAUUUGUGUGCCCAUGACAGAAUGGUUUUGCAAAGGAAUUUGAUUUACUUUUCAAAAUUGCAGUAUUAAAUGAAUAAAGGGCAGUUUCGGGCAGCUCUUAUAUUUCUGAAUAUGUUGACUCUCUUUUCCUCUUCUUUCAUCUUUCCCACACCCCCCAACAGACCUCUCAUCUCCUGGUCUCUCUCACAUACACACACACAUACACACACACACACACACACAUACGCAGCAGCAGCAGCAGCAGCAGCAGCAGCAGUAGUUAUAAGCCUCUCUUCCCUCUCCUUCCAGAAGCUGCAGCAUUUCCACAGCGAGAUGCAGACAGGAUGCAAAGACACGGAUGUCCCAGGCUAGGGCAGCUCGACCCAUCAGGCAGAAAUACCCUCCCUGAACCUCCCAGGUAGAUGUUGUGUCCGUGGACUCUCUCCCUGCCUCUUGGUUCUUAGGCCCCUCCGUCCUCUUACCAGAGGGCACUGUACCACCUUUAAAUCAGACUUAGAGGAAAUUGACAGGGGGCACCUGACGAGCGAAGGAUCUGUCUAGAGUGGCAUGGGUGCUUUAGCUGGUGAUACAGGGGCUGCCGCGUCUGCCAGGUCAGGCGUCUGAGUUCGACCCCUUCGAAGAGAGCAUGGCCGGAGGUCCAGCCAUCCUGCAGCCCUGUCCAUAUCCUCCUGUUCUUUCUGGGCCACAGGGUACUUGCUGAGAAAGCCCAGUGGUUGCAAGGGCACGGACUCUCCAACUCCCUUCUAAACAGCAUUCAUACCUUAAGAAGCUGAGAACACAAUGCCCUCGCGAGAAGACUUGCGUUUCCUGCAGGCAGACCUGCUAUCUUAUUUAACUCGCUAGGGCAGGGUAGACGCUCAUACGUAUUUGUUCAAUUAAGAAUCAAGGAAAUGAAUAGAGAGGGUGAAUCAUCACUCUGAAGACGUUAAUUACAUCUGUUUUAUCUAACGAGCUUUAUAUAAUACUGUCUUUCUGCCAGGAACUUCUCAAAGUGCUUUUGAGAUAGAAACUCGUGUAUGUCUAAACCCUAUAACUGACACCGCUGAUAGUCAGUUCCUUUUAUUUUUUUAUUUUUAUUUUUUGCAGAAGUAGAGGUGGAAGUUAAGUAACUUGUCCAAGGUGAGGCAGCAAGUAAGUGGCAAAGCCAGGUUUCCAGCCCGAGCAGUCCGACUCCAGAGUUUUUCUCUAAAUCUCUCUGCUCAACUUCUUCUAAUCCUUAGUCUUUUUCUCCUCUGACCAAGACGAAUGUACUUAGAUAAACCCAACCAGGGAAUAAAGAUGCAUGGAAUUUAAUCCCUGAAGACCACCUUUCAGAAUUUUGCUUUCCAAAGACAUAGCAAAGCAGGUUUCCAGAUGAAAGAGGAAUAGUGAAAUUAGUUUAUUUUACCCAGAAGACAGAGAGCUCCCCCACCCCUUUACCACUGUAAUCUGUAGACUAUAUUUUUUGGUGUUAAGG